rnacentral:rRNA from 1 species
GCUUAUGGCCAUACCAGCCUGGGUACGCCAUCUCUGAUCUCGGAAGCUAAGCAGGGUCGGGCCUGGUUAGUACUUGGAUGGGAGACCGCCUGGGAAUACCAGGUGCUGUAAGCA